AGCGAACGCUGGCGGCAGGCCUAACACAUGCAAGUCGAACGAACUCUUCGGAGUUAGUGGCGGACGGGUGAGUAACGCGUGGGAACGUGCCCUUUGGUUCGGAAUAACUCACGGAAACGUGUGCUAAUACCGAAUGUGCCCUUCGGGGGAAAGAUUUAUCGCCAUUGGAUCGGCCCGCGUCUGAUUAGCUAGUUGGUGAGGUAACGGCUCACCAAGGCGACGAUCAAUAGCUGGUCUGAGAGGAUGACCAGCCACACUGGGACUGAGACACGGCCCAGACUCCUACGGGAGGCAGCAGUGGGGAAUCUUGCGCAAUGGGCGAAAGCCUGACGCAGCCAUGCCGCGUGAAUGAUGAAGGUCUUAGGAUUGUAAAAUUCUUUCACCGGGGACGAUAAUGACGGUACCCGGAGAAGAAGCCCCGGCUAACUUCGUG
rnacentral:rRNA from 1 species